GAAAUCGAUUAGGCAAUCGAUGUAUACAGGUCUGGACAUGUUCUACUGAAAAGUGUUGUUUUAAAGAAUCGAUUGGUAAAUCGAUUAGCUUAUAUAGUUUCAAGAUUAAAGAAAAACAAGACUCGCGAUAAUCGAUUGGCAAAUCGAUUUAGCACAUUUUAUAACUUUACAAAAUCGAUUGGGAAAUCGAUUUCGUAGUUGGUUUUUCAGAA
rnacentral:lncRNA from 1 species